GAGCAAGACCCGUUGCCAGCCCGCCCGCGGUAACACCGGCGGCUCGAGUGGUAACCGUUAUUAUUGGGUCUAAAGGGUCUGUAGCCGGCCGGAUAAGUCUCUUGAGAAAUCUGGCAGCUUAACUGUCAGGCUUUCAGGAGAUACUGUCUGGCUCGAGGCCGGGAGAGGUGAGAGGUACUUCAGGGGUAGGGGUGAAAUCUUGUAAUCCUUGAAGGACCACCAGUGGCGAAGGCGUCUCACCAGAACGGACCUGACGGCAAGGGACGAAAGCUAGGGGCACGAACCGGAUUAGAUACCCGGGUAGUCCUAGCCGUAAACGAUACUCGCUAGGUGUCGGCCACGGUGCGACCGUUGUCGGUGCCGUAGGGAAGCCGUGAAGCGAGCCACCUGGGAAGUACGGCCGCAAGGCUGAAACUUAAAGGAAUUGGCGGGGGAGCACCACAACGGGUGGAGCUUGCGGUUUAAUUGGAUUCAACGCCGGAAAUCUUACCGGGACCGACAGCAAUAUGAAGGCCAGGCUGAAGACUUUGCCGGAUUAGCUGAGAGGUGGUGCAUGGCCGUCGUCAGUUCGUACUGUGAAGCAUCCUGUUAAGUCAGGUAACGAGCGAGACCCNNNNNNNNAUNNCNNNNNNNNNNNNNUNNNUCCGGUUGAUCCUGCCAGAGGUUACUGCUAUCGAGGUUCGACUAAGCCAUGCGAGUCGAAUGUAGCAAUACAUGGCGAACUGCUCAGUAACACGUGGACAACCUGCCCUUAGGACGGGGAUAAACCCGGGAAACUGGGUAUAAUACCCGAUAGGUCUCGACUGCUGGAAUGCAUCGAGAUUGAAAGCUCCGGCGCCUAAGGAUGGGUCUGCGGCCUAUCAGGUAGUAGUGGGUGUAGCGUACCUACUAGCCUACGACGGGUACGGGUUGUGAGAGCAAGAGCCCGGAGACGGAUUCUGAGACACGAAUCCAGGCCCUACGGGGUGCAGCAGGCGCGAAAACUUUACAAUGCUGGCAACAGCGAUAAGGGAACCUCGAGUGCCAGGUUACAAAUCUGGCUGUCGAGAU
rnacentral:rRNA from 1 species